UUGGAUAACCUUAUUCAGGAAUUAGUUUCAAUUUCGACAAACUUAAAAAAAUCCCCCAAUAGGAAGUAUCAAAGAACCACACUGAUCAACAAACUUGGUCAAAGUAGAGAUCUUGUGGUGACCUCUUCUUCAUGACCUACAUACUUUACCAUUAUACAUUUAACCCGUUUACGUUUAAACAUCAAACCACCCAAACCUACAUUAUAGCGCUGAGUAGCAAAACUUCCAAACUUCCUCAUUGCCGCACCAGAACCAGGUCAUUAGUUUAAUUAAACAUAGCUUUGGUCAAGCGUGAGCAGGUGCUCAACAGCUGACCAUAUAGAUUAAAGAGAGUGAGAGCGUGAGCAACUUGCUCAACGCCAAUAAAUAAGUGAAGUAGUAGAUUGUAAGGUAGCGAAUAAUAAAUAACAAUGUGUGGUGGAUGCGGCCCUACAUUCUUAUAACAGCGAUAAGCUCUACAUAAACAUAGCAGUGAAAACUGCGUAAACAAAUGAUCAGCAUAAACGCGAUCACACCACCCGGGCAGUGAACGCG